rnacentral:rRNA from 1 species
AUUGAACGCUGGCGGCAGGCCUAACCCAUGCAAGUCGGGCGAGUGGCGGACGGGUGAGUAAUGUCUGGGGACCUGCCUGAUGGAGGGGGAUAACUACUGGCAACGGUAGCUAAUACCGCAUACCAUCCGAUGUUCCCAUAUGGGAUUAGCUCGUAGGUGGGGUAACGGCUCACCUAGGCGACGAUCCCUAGCUGGUCUGAGAGGAUGAUCAGCCACACUGGGACUGAGAAACGGCCCAGACUCCUACGGGAGGCAGCAGUGGGGAAUAUUGCACAAUGGGCGCAAGCCUGAUGCAGCCAUGCCGCGUGUAUGAAGAAGGCCUUCGGGUUGUAAAGUACUUUCAGUCGGGAGGCGUUACCGGCAGAAGAAGCACCGGCUAACUCCGUGCCAGCAGCCGCGGUAAUUC